rnacentral:rRNA from 1 species
GAUGAACGCUGGCGGCGUGCCUAAUACAUGCAAGUCGAACGCGAGAGGAGGGAGCUUGCUCCCUCUGAUCGAGUGGCGGACGGGUGAGUAACACGUAGGCAACCUGCCCAUCAGCCGGGGAUAACUGCGGGAAACCGUGGCUAAUACCGGAUAAUCCUCCCCGCCGCGGGGUGGGGAGUUGAAAGACGGUUUCGGCUGUCGCUGAUGGAUGGGCCUGCGGCGCAUUAGCUGGUUGGCGGGGUAACGGCCCACCAAGGCAACGAUGCGUAGCCGACCUGAGAGGGUGGUCGGCCACACUGGGACUGGGACACGGCCCAGACUCCUACGGGGGGCAGCAGUAGGGAAUCUUCCGCAAUGGACGCAAGUCUGACGGAGCAACGCCGCGUGAGUGAAGAAGGGUUUCGGCUCGUAAAACUCUGUUGUUAAGGAAGAACGCCAGGUAGAGUAACUGCUACCUGUGUGACGGUACUUAACCAGAAAGCCAUGGCUAACUACGUGCCAGCAGCCGCCGCGGUAA